AAAUUAUUUUGGGAAAAGAGUCUUAAUUGACAGCAUCCUCACAACAGGCCUUACUUUUGGCUGAGUUUAAGAGGCACUCUGGCACCAUGCAUAUCUGUGGCUUUGUGGAAUCAGGCUGGGUUCCCCCAAGGUGAGGAUGCUCACGUUCCCAAGUGAUCUGUCUUCUGGUGGACCUUGGGCUGUCGGGACCUGACUGACAUCCUCCCCAGGACACUUUCCUGCCCUGUGGUUUUAUUCUUUUAAUCAUGUUCUUGCAUCCAAUUUUCCCAGUAAAUGUGUGCAGUCAUAUGAACUAGGUCAUAGGCCAGAUCUGCUCCAGGCCUGCAUGGCACCGCUGCAUAUUUUGCCUCCUACAUAAAUGAAAAGUGUGGCCGGCCAUUAUGUGAGGAGUGACAGAAGAGAAGGAAAAAGAGAACUGAAAGGAAACGAACAGUAUUUGAUCAUCGACUACAUUUUAUUCUAACACCUGAAUGGAGAAGAUGGAAGAAAUGGAAGGACUGCAUUUAUUCUGGGGAAAACGCUGCUGGGCUGAGGGCCUCCGUUGGAAGCCACCUUUAAAUCCUAGAGGACGCCUGAAGUUCCUCGACAUGUGGUCUCCCCAACAUGGGAUCCUCCUUCCUUACAGAAGCAACAGAGAGAGGACCUCCUGGCAGAACGGGUGUUACAAUUGUAUGUAAAAUAAUAACAUCCACAUGCUCACACAUGUCCUGUGACCCUCAUGUAUUCUAUCCGUUAUAAGCAAAUUAAAAGUUCUUUCCACUUUCAGCAGGGAGAAAAUUAUACACCAAGAAGUGGGAACCCUGGGGCCACUUUCAUGCCUGUCACUAGGGAGCAGGGAAGGGCUGACUACAAAUUUUAGAGGAGAUCUAGAAGGGUGUGGUGUAAUGGCUUUCAUGGGGUUGGGCACUUCAAGGAGAAAGAUGUGCAGUAGAUUGAGUGAUGAGAGGAUCUCUCCCUGAUGAGCUUAGCUAGAACAACUUUAGUGGAGGGGUGGAGGUGAAAUCGCAUUACAGCAUGUUGAGAUAUGGAUGGGAAGUGAAGACUUGCAGAGGAGAAUUCAAUUUCUCUUUCAAAAUUUUCUAUUUACAGAUCAAAUGAGUAAGACUAAAAUUGUAUCAAAAUCAGUUUUAAAAAUCAAUUUUAUCUAUUGAAAUAAGGAGAUUCAGGAAAGCACUAAUUUGGAAACAUGAAAGCCAAUAUUUUGCAUUAAAAUUACUUACAAUAUUUAAGGACUUGGCUCUUCAGAUUUGGAAAGUUUAUUGGACUAGAGGGAUAUAUUGGUUUUGAUCACAUGGUCUGCCAUUUAAUUUUUGUGAGAUUCUACAAAACCCACUGGCCUUUUGGGGCCUUCGUUUCCGUUCCGUAAAAUAGAGAGAUACAGUAUAUUCAAAGAGUUAGAAUUUUGAGUCUCCUUGAGUUUCAAAAUUUUGUGAUGUUGUGGUUCUUUUAUAACUUCACAUGUUCUUGUUCACAGAAUCAGGGCAAAAUUUACAAUUCUCUAAGAGAUUUUAAUUCUAGAGAGGUGUGUUUCAUAGUACAGUAAAAGCUGGAAUACUGCCAUGAAGCCACAGCGUCUCCAGUCAACUGCAGCCUUCACAAAAGCUGAGGAUGAGUUUUCUGUGCUUUGCCCUCUACUGAGAGUGGAUUAAAGCUUUGAGAUGCAGCAGGUCUUGUUCAGGUCAGUUACUGUGACACAUUGCGGGUCAAAGCAUGCUUUUUUCAUAUCAUGAUUCUUUUUUAUCAACUGACAGUAAAUGGAAGCAAAUUCUUCCUAGCCUAAACAGUAUUACAAAAACAGAAAAGAACAUGCAGAAGACGGUUGGAACAAUAAACGCAAAUAUACCCACCUUCCCUCUUACUGAAAUUCUAACUGGCCUCUGG
rnacentral:lncRNA from 1 species